AUGACAAAUAUAAGUGUAAUGUUGUACGCCAAAAUGACCUUCACAUCGGUCAUUAGUCUGAAAAAUAAAAACAAUAAUUAUUAAUUUAUUAAAAAUAACAAAUGACACGUUGAAGAGUGCGUGUGCUAUUUGCAUUAUCGUGACUGGUUUUCUAUUCCAAUUGCAUCAACACAAGACUCUACUCAGAACCUGAAACGAAUAAUCUUCAAACACCCUAUGCGCACAAUAAUUGUGUACUCCAUAAAAUAGACGGAAUGUCACUCCAACUGAAAUACAACAAUAUAGGUUUCGUAAGAAAAUAAAAUAAAUUGCAUAAUCGGGAUGUGCGGACACAACAUUCAGUAUAAUAUACACGUAGAGACUGCAAAAGACAGUAUUAUAUUUAAGGUAAUCGAAUAAUAUAAUACAUCGUCGUAUAUCGUACAUAAUAAUACGUGAUGACUGAGAGAGCCGUUUUGUUUUUGGUUUUUAUGAGAAGGGGUUUGAUUUGUUAAUUAUAAAUUUGUUAGUAUUUUAUUCAAAUAUUUAGCGACCACAUUGCAUUUCGAAAUGCGUACAGCAAAAUUCGAGUAAUUAUAAUCAAUCACGGCGUGUCUCAGUACACUGGACCGUUGUACAACUGCAAAUUUAAUAAACAUAAUACGUAUCGGGAAUAUGCAAGUACAGCAGAGAGAACGUACCAGGAGAAUGUGACGCAUGGCAGAUAAUACGAUUGUUGUUUUAUGAAACUCAUUUGAGAAAUAAAGAAAAUUCCAAUAAAAUAUAUAUUAAAUUGCUCGCGUUUCAAUAUCACUCGUCCACACGCGGUUUUAUGGUGAAAACUCGUGAGUAUUAUACUAUUAUACUAUAUCGUGAAAUAUAUUGAAAACGAUUCGGUGUUAAAUAAAAUACAUCGAUAGUAAAAAACCACGAAAUUGUGUACUAUAAAGAAAUACUAGUAAUUUGCAAGCUUUAGGUUUUAAAACUUUGAAAUGAUUUAAAACAACUUAUCAUAUUGUAUAAUAAUA